CAAGAAAUAGCUUAAUUUAAUAAAGCAUUUUAUUUACAUUAAAAAGAUAUAAGAAAUAGUUUUCUUGA
rnacentral:tRNA from 1 species